rnacentral:rRNA from 1 species
UACAGAGGUCUCAAGCGUUGUUCGGAUUCAUUGGGCGUAAAGGGUGCGUAGGCGGCGCGGUAAGUCGGGUGUGAAAUUUCGAGGCUUAACUUCGAAACUGCAUUCGAUACUGCCGUGCUUGAGGACUGGAGAGGAGACUGGAAUUUACGGUGUAGCAGUGAAAUGCGUAGAGAUCGUAAGGAAGACCAGUGGCGAAGGCGGGUCUCUGGACAGUUCCUGACGCUGAGGCACGAAGGCCAGGGGAGCAAACGGG